GGCUGUGGCCCAUCGCCCCAGUGCCUGGUAGCCUAGUUUUCUCGUUUGUCGUUUGUUCACUUAUUUAUUAUUAUUAUUAUUAUUUUGACUCGUAAUGGGUAUGAGGUGUAAGGGGGCCUAUUACGGAUGUUAAGGGGAGAGGGCACCGCUCGGGUUUUAAUAAGCAUCUGUGGAGCUCAUUUAUAAGAUUGGCAUCCUCUGCUUCUGCAGAAAACAUGGCUACCAACAGCUUCUGUAUCCACCUGCGGAGGAGACUGACUGCUCUGUUAUUCCCCCAGCAUCUGUGAAGAGGCUCUGACUGGCUAAAGUGUUGGAAGGAGUCUGUAGCUUUAGGGGAAGACAGAGCCACAAGAUGGAAGGAGCUUGGAUGUCUGAACUAUUCCAUGGAGAAAAGCUGCAGCCAACGAAGAACACCUGCAAUGGACUCUUAACCUGGGGGUGACGACAACCACUGAAAUAUGCUGCAUCUUAGUCCAGGGAUUUUUAAAGUGUGGUUCCUGGAAGAGCUGGAUCAGAGUCAUCUGUGUUGAUGGUUUAACAUAAAGAUUUUCGAGCCCCAAGACUCAAGUAGGACAAGGAAUUUGAAUUUUUAAGCAGCUCACCUGACUUGUCUGUCCUCUAAUGUCUGAAGACAUCUGACCUCUGCUCUUUCAGUAAAAGCAACAAUGGUUUUAUGAGCAUUGUCGUCACAUCUCUCCACUCAAGGGAUCCUUCUCAUUUCUCCCAGCUGAGGUCACCCACAGCUGCUGCUUCUAACUGCUGGCUUCCAGCCUGCUGUCUGCCAGCUGGCUCUACCCUCUCCUAUAACACGGCAGAGAGUAGCUGUGGUCUCCUGCGUGCUCACCCUCUGCUCCCUUGGUCCUGCUCCAUGCUUUGGUCCUGCACUUAAAUUUUACAAGCAUACUCUCUUUCUCUUAAGAUGAAGGAGCUGAGGCUGGAGAAGUUAAGAGACCCCUGCUAGAUAGGAAGGCACGUGAGAAGUAUACUGCUCUGUCUCCUGUGGAGUAAAAAGACUUUGGCGUUCUCAGAAGAAAACCAAAUGAGAUCACACGAAUGAGACUGCUGUUUCCUUCCUAGCAUCUCUCGGAAUGGCUGAAAAUAUGACACUUGACAGUCCUUUGUACCGGACCCAUCUACGUGGCUCCCCUGGUAAAAAAUCCUGAGUUGUAAUUUAUGGCAAACAUUUCUUCAAGCUCCUGCUCUUGGAAUGGAAUACAUGAAUGUGAAUUCCACCAAAGAUAGUAAUG
rnacentral:lncRNA from 10 species